CUAAAACUUAACCAGGAGCUGACCUGGAGAGUCUUGACUCAGAAUAUCAAACCAAGGCAGUCCAAGGGGUCUCUUCUGAUCUUAGGCUCUUUUACUCUAUAGAGGCAGCAUGUGCAUAGUGCAUGUCCCUGCACUGUGUGGCACCCAAAUUCCAGAGGAUGCUCUCCAGCCUGUGGCUGUGCUGCUUUACCAGGAAAAACUACUUGGUGCAGAUCAGAAGGAGCCUGGGUGAAAACAUGCAGUAUGACCCUCUGGGACACCAAGGUCCAAGGGUCUGGACCCGACUCCCCAUCAGACUCAGGAAAACAAGAACCAGCCUGGAGGCGCCUUUGGCUGCACCCUGUGGUCAGACCAGCUGUGUGGAGAGGAGAGGAGCAGAGAGGGACCAAGGCUCAAAAGGAGAAUCAGGGGAACAAGGGCAGCAGUAUUUCUUAUAGAAAUAGAAGAAAUCUGGAAGAGAUGGCCGGCAAUGGAAGCACCAACUAUUAUGACAAGAUACUGAAUAUCACAACAAAACAGCCUGAAAUGGUUCCACAAUAAUUUUUAAACUUUGUUUAAUUUUAUGGAUGAAA
rnacentral:lncRNA from 12 species